AAUGGAAUUGUUGGGUCAUAUGGUCUGUACAUGUUUGACUUCUUAAGAAACUGCCAAAAUGAUUCCAAAGGAACUGUUCCAUUCUAAAUUUCCACCAGCACU
rnacentral:pre_miRNA from 1 species